GCUUCCGUAGUUCAAUGGAUAGAAUGUUGGUUUCCGGUACCAAUGAUAGGGGUUCGAAUCCCUUCGGGAGCACGA
rnacentral:tRNA from 1 species